rnacentral:rRNA from 1 species
AUGUCGUCUCUUGCCGUCCGCUGCGGGCUGGAGUGGGAGCUCGGCUGGCUCGGGGGCCUCUUCACGGCCGCGGAGCUGGCGGCCGCCGACCUGCUCCUGCAGCUCAGCAGAGACUACGAGGCGGCCGCCGCGGCGUCGAAGGCAACGACCAUCGCCUGGCCGCGCUCGGUGAGCUCGUGCUGCGAGAUCCUCGUCAAGGAAGAGACGGAGCGGAUCGUCGAGGAGACGGCGCCCUUAUCGCUUGGGUCGCGGGCGAGGAGGAGCUCGGCGAGCUCGUGCCCCGAGGACCUCACCGUGGUCGGCGAGGGGGAGCUGGAGCCUCCGCGGAUCUCCAGGGAGACGGCGCCGUCACCGGGGUCGAUGGAGCUGGACAGGAGGGCGAGGAAGAGGUACCGCCUGCUGUCGGAGCUCCACGCCGCCAAGAGACAGGGGAAGGCCGCCGGCCCUGCCGCGAAGAAGAAGAGGAAGAGGCACCACGACGGCGGCGAGUCGGAGUCGCCGUCGUCGGAGGCGACGGGAUACGGAGGCUACUAG